CUCUUUUUAGGGAGCUGCGCUGGCGGUACCCUCACAACCCGCCCCCCACCUCCUCCCACAGCUUCACUUUUCUUCGCGAUAUCCCUGGAUUCGGAGUUUUACUGGAAUUCUUCCCUGGUGGUUCUGCAUGGGAGUGAAGCGCGGAAAAACUCUAUAAUCCACAAAAGAUGUUCUAAGAGUAGCCCCCCAGAAUCCAUGGAUUCUCUCCUUUUCCUCUGCGCCCGCCGCAUCGUCGCCCAGCGCCCUCUUCCUGCCCUUCCUUCCGAUCUCUAUCCCGUCCUUUUCCAAGCGGCAUUCCUGGAUGGAAGACCCCUGGUCCUGCGGGAUUUGGUGGCCACUUGACCCUUCCCAGAGCUCAACCUCCGGCGGCUCCUGGGGCGCCGAGAGCUGCUCCGGGAUCAUUCCUGGCGCGGGGCCUGGAGCCCGACGGCUUCUUGUGCCAGUGGCUGCGGGAGAGAGCGGGGCUGGGGGGGACAGCGGGGACAGCGGGGACAGC